rnacentral:rRNA from 1 species
UGUCUUCUAAAUAAAGACCCGUAUGAACGGCUAAAUGAAGAUUUAACUGUCUCCUUUAACUAAUCAGUGAAACUGAUCUUCCAGUACAAAAGCUGGAAUAAAACUAUAAGACGAGAAGACCCUGUGGAGCUUUAAACCUUACUCAAAAUAUGCUUUUUACAAAUAUUUAUGACCUUAAGUUUUAAGUUGGGGCGACUUCGGAGAAAAACUAAACCUCCGAGCACAAAGGCACCACCUAAACCAGAGGCCUACAAGCCAAAACCUACAUUGACCCAGUAAUACUGAUCAACGAACCAAGUUACCCCAGGGAUAACAGCGCCAUCUUCUUCAAGAGUCCCUAUCGACAAGAAGGUUUACGACCUCGAUGUUGGAUCAGGACACCCAAAUGGUGCAACCGCUAUUAAAGGUUCGUUUGUUCAACGAUUAAUAGU